CCAGACUCCUACGGGAGGCAGCAGUGGGGAAUAUUGCACAAUGGGGGAAACCCUGAUGCAGCGACGCCGCGUGGGUGAAGAAGCGCCUCGGCGCGUAAAGCCCUGUCAGCAGGGAAGAAAAUGACGGUACCUGACUAAGAGGCCCCGGCUAACUACGUGCCAGCAGCCGCGGUAAUACGUAGGGGGCAAGCGUUAUCCGGAUUUACUGGGUGUAAAGGGAGCGUAGACGGCGAUGCAAGUCUGAAGUGAAAGGCGGGGGCCCAACCCCCGGACUGCUUUGGAAACUGUAUAGCUGGAGUGCAGGAGAGGUAAGUGGAAUUCCUAGUGUAGCGGUGAAAUGCGUAGAUAUUAGGAGGAACACCAGUGGCGAAGGCGGCCUACUGGACGGUGACUGACGCUGAGGCUCGAAAGCGUGGGGAGCAAACAGGAUUAGAUACCCGUGUAUAA
rnacentral:rRNA from 1 species